GAUGAACGCUGGCGGCGUGCCUAAUACAUGCAAGUCGAGCGAACAGACGAGGAGCUUACUCCUCUGACGUUAGCGGCGGCCGGGUGAGUAACACGUGGAUAACCUACCUAUAAGACUGGGAUAACUUCGGGAAACCGGAGCUAAUACCGGAUAACAUGUUGAACCGCAUGGUUCAACAGUGAAAGACGGUCUUGCUGUCACUUAUAGAUGGAUCCGCGUCGCAUUAGCUAGUUGGUAAGGUAACGGCUUACCAAGGCAACGAUGCGUAGCCGACCUGAGAGGGUGAUCGGCCACACUGGAACUGAGACACGGUCCAGACUCCUACGGGAGGCAGCAGUAGGGAAUCUUCCGCAAUGGGCGAAAGCCUGACGGAGCAACGCCGCGUGAGUGAAGAAGGUCUUCGGAUCGUAAAACUCCGUUAUUAGGGAAGAACAAAUGUGUAAGUAACUAUGCACGUCUUGACGGUACCUAAUCAGAAAGCCACGGCUAACUACGUG
rnacentral:rRNA from 1 species